rnacentral:tRNA from 1 species
CGACGUAUGGUGUAGUGGCUAACAUUAUCGCCUCUCAUCCAGAAUUAUCUUAGCCAUGAGGCGCGAUAGCCCGGGGUUCAAUUCCCCGUGUCGG